AUGGAGCCGACCUUGAAAUACCACCCUUUAAUGUUUGAUGUUCUAACGUUGACCCGUAAUCCGGGUUGCGGACAGUGUCUGGUGGGUAGUUUGACUGGGGCGGUCUCCUCCUAAAGAGUAACGGAGGAGCACGAAGGUUGGCUAAUCCUGGUCGGACAUCAGGAGGUUAGUGCAAUGGCAUAAGCCAGCUUGACUGCGAGCGUGACGGCGCGAGCAGGUGCGAAAGCAGGUCAUAGUGAUCCGGUGGUUCUGAAUGGAAGGGCCAUCGCUCAACGGAUAAAAGGUACUCCGGGGAUAACAGGCUGAUACCGCCCAAGAGUUCAUAUCGACGGCGGUGUUUGGCACCUCGAUGUCGGCUCAUCACAUCCUGGGGCUGAAGUAGGUCCCAAGGGUAUGGCUGUUCGCCAUUUAAAGUGGUACGCGAGCUGGGUUUAGAACGUCGUGAGACAGUUCGGUCCCUAUCUGCCGUGGGCGCUGGAGAACUGAGGGGGGCUGCUCCUAGUACGAGAGGACCGGAGUGGACGCAUCACUGGUGUUCGGGUUGUCAUGCCAAUGGCACUGCCCGGUAGCUAAAUGCGGAAGAGAUAAGUGCUGAAAGCAUCUAAGCACGAAACUUGCCCCGAGAUGAGUUCUCCCUGACCCUUUAAGGGUCCUGAAGGAACGUUGAAGACGACGACGUUGAUAGGCCGGGUGUGUAAGCGCAGCGAUGCGUUGAGCUAACCGGUACUAAUGAACCGUGAGGCUUAACCUUACAACGCCGAAGCUGUU
rnacentral:rRNA from 1 species